GUCGAACGAAGCACUUUAUUUGAUUUCCUUCGGGACUGAUUAUUUUGUGACUGAGUGGCGGACGGGUGAGUAACGCGUGGGUAACCUGCCUUGUACAGGGGGAUAACAGUUGGAAACGGCUGCUAAUACCGCAUAAGCGCACAGCAUCGCAUGAUGCAGUGUGAAAAACUCCGGUGGUAUAAGAUGGACCCGCGUUGGAUUAGCUAGUUGGUGAGGUAACGGCCCACCAAGGCGACGAUCCAUAGCCGACCUGAGAGGGUGACCGGCCACAUUGGGACUGAGACACGGCCCAAACUCCUACGGGAGGCAGCAGUGGGGAAUAUUGCACAAUGGGCGAAAGCCUGAUGCAGCGACGCCGCGUGAGCGAAGAAGUAUUUCGGUAUGUAAAGCUCUAUCAGCAGGGAAGAUAAUGACGGUACCUGACUAAGAAGCACCGGCUAAAUACGUGCCAGCAGCCGCGGUAAUACGUAUGGUGCAAGCGUUAUCCGGAUUUACUGGGUGUAAAGGGAGCGCAGGCGGUGCGGCAAGUCUGAUGUGAAAGCCCGGGGCUCA
rnacentral:rRNA from 1 species